rnacentral:rRNA from 1 species
UACGAAGGGGGCUAGCGUUGCUCGGAAUCACUGGGCGUAAAGCGCACGUAGGCGGACUCUUAAGUCAGGGGUGAAAUCCUGGAGCUCAACUCCAGAACUGCCUUUGAUACUGGCGAGCUUGAGUCCGGGAGAGGUGAGUGGAACUGCGAGUGUAGAGGUGAAAUUCGUAGAUAUUCGCAAGAACACCAGUGGCGAAGGCGGCUCACUGGCCCGAUACUGACGCUGAGGUGCGAAAGCGUGGGGAGCAAACAGG